GCGGCGGCAGGGGCUGCUCCAGCAGACACCCCCAGUUUGCACGGGGGUGCCAGCUGCCCGCGCUGCUCCCAGCUCCGGGAAAGGGAGUGUGAUAAGGCGCCAAGAGCGACGAGGGGGCAGCGGCCGGCUCUCCAGCAGCUGCGCGCGACUGUAUGAGGUAUUAGACGCCCCGGGCCAGGGCCGAAGGAUAGACUGCGAGGGUCAUGGUUGCAGGCGGCGAGCCCCAAGCCCGGCGCCGGCAGCGUCCGCUCGGGGUCUCGGAGAAGCCCGCCUGCACCCUGCGCCGCGCGGCUCUCAACGCCAGAGCCCUCCGUGGCGCUGGAGGUUCGCUGGGCGGUGGCGGGACGGGACGGACAGCGCGCUUCUCCAAUGGCCGGGCGCCGUGGCCAGCGAGGGGCGGGGCCACUCUGCCCCGGGCAGGGUCAAGCCGCCGCCCGCCAGCCCCCCUCCUGCGUCUCUCCCUCCCGCCCCGGAGCGCCCCGCCCCGCUUCCCGGCUCUCGCUUUCCUCCCACCGGGUUUGCGGCGUUCGGGGGCCAGGCGGCGAUGGAGCCAAGUCGCUUGGCCGGGCCAGCCUGCUCCUUCUCUCUCAGGACUCUUCCCCCCGCCUCACACCGUCUUCCUGCCAUCGCCUUGCUGGAGAAGCCAGGAUUGCUAUAGGAACCAGGUUCCAGGCAAACAGCAGCAGACCCGUUUCUCAGACCAGAGGCUUCAGACUGCAUAUGCAGGGAGCAGCCCCACCCUAGUCUGUCUAGUUUUGAGGAUGCAGUCUAUAAAGUCCUUUAGUAGAAGACUGCCUGGCUGGCAUAAAUGGACCAACAUGUAA
rnacentral:lncRNA from 1 species